UUCCUCCCAAGGUGGAGAACCUUGCAUUUUUCAGUGUUAAACAUCAGGUUCUCAUCCGCCCAUUUGCUGAGCCUGUCCAGGUCAGCCUGGAUCAUCUGCCUGUCUUCUGGUGUGGAUGCUUUGCCCCAAAGUUUGGUGUCAUCAGCGAACUUGGCCAGUCUGCUUUUGACUCGAGUGUCCACAUCAUUAACGAAGAUGUUGAACAAUAUGGGUCCAAGGACAGAGCCUUGGGGGCCCCCAAGGGUGACAGGGCACCAUGAUGAUUGACUUCCAUCAAUUACUACCCUCUGGGUCCAACCACGGAGCCAGUUCUCCAGCCAGCGGAUCAUGGUGGACCAAGGCCACAAUCAGCCAGUUUCGCCAAGAGGUGAUCAUGGGAUACCAGAUUGAAAGCUUUUUUGAAGUCAAGAUAUAUGACAUCAAUCUCUUCUCCCUUGUCUAGGUGAUCGGUUACCUGGUCAUAAAAGGAAAUGAGGUUGAUCAAGCAAGACCUACCUGCAACAAACCCAUGCUGGCUAUCCCUCAGGAUGUUGGCGUCGGCCACUCCAUUAAGGAUGGCCCCUUUAAUAAACUUUUCUAAGAUCUUCCCCAGGAUAGAAGUCAGGCUGAUGGGCCUGUAGUUUGCUGGAUCUACUUUCCUCCCUUUCUUGAAGAUAGGCACCACAUUGGCCUUCUUCCAGUCUUCGGGAACUUCACCAGAGUGCCAGGAGUUUUCAAAGAUCCGUGCUAGAGGCUGGGCUAUGAUGCUUGCCAGCUCCUUGAGUACCCUGGGGUGUAGAUUGUCAGGCUGACUUGAAGGUAUCCAGCCUCUCAAGGUGUUCCUUCUUGAGGUCAGUAUUGAUGGAGAGCAGGGGAUCUCCCUCACCUGGACCUCCCUGUCCUGUAGUGGGCAUGGGUGUCCCAUGGGACUGAUGAAAGACUGAUGCAAAGUACCCAUUUAAUAGGUUGGCUUUUUCCUGGACGUCAGUUGUCAGUUGCCCCAUCUGGUUCACAGAAGCAGCUGAGAGUAACCUGGAACUCUUCAAUUGUGUUGUGUGCCCACUCAAUUGUCAGCGUACUGAAGAUCAAGAAUGGAGGUGUUGGUUAUCUUGGAUUUGGAACGUAACUGGUUGAAGUUAAAGAGAUUCCCAUCCAUGUGAUGCUGGAUGCCGAUCAGAUGAAAGCCUAUCAGCAAUGAGAGAUGCUGUGUGGUUGUGUUGCCUGGAACGCACAGCCUCACUAAAGCAGCACGAUUACCCUGACUAGGAGGCAGAGUUGUAUAUGAGGUUCAUGUGUUUGGGUUGGGAAUGAUUCUUUGCUGGGGAAAGUUCAGUCAUUUUUAAGGAGGCUCAUGGUAACUCCUUAUUGACGGAAACAUCUUUGUGGCUAUGUGGUUUUUGGCUCGUCUUGCCUUUUUAUGGAGUAUGAGCUCUUGGGAUAAAGAUUGAUUUCUCUAUCUGGAAAAUGCCUGCGCACACUGGGUGUUCCUGCAGUCUAGCAAGUGAUGAUGUGCAAAAUGGAGGACCCUUCUGGCAGCUGUAUAAUCCAGCUGUUCAUUGGGCAGACUUACCCCACAGCAGUAUGGUAGAGUGGGCCCAACCCUGUACACAUGCAAAGAAGUCACUGCAUUUGCAACAUCUGGAUGUCUCCUUCAGAGAUUCUGCUAGUUUCCCCAGGGGUGGAAGGGAAUGAUGGCCACAGAGCAACUUUGCAGCUGUCUUCGUAAGGCUAGGGAUAUUUCCCCCCACUUCCCAGUCAGUCAGCCUUCUGUUGUCAAGAGGUUUGGGCAGAUCAUUAGCUGGUUGGGCUGCUUAGAAAAGAGAGAGCUGUCUACCCUAAGGACUGGCCAUAACUACACAUUUCUUUUCCUCAGGCAGUUAGGAACACUACAGACAUAUAUGUUUAAGAACAGAUAUCAUUUCUUUUUCUUAGCAAAGUGUGUGCCUCCCAGUCGGAUGGCACAGAGACCAAAUGUGAAGGUUUAUGACAAAGAGCUUUUUUUGCACAAGUAAUUUUUUGAGGGGAAAAUUUUAAUGCAAGCAAAAAUUUAGUUUUCUUCUUGCAUCACACAACUCAAAAAUGGUCAGGUUGAACCUGAGCAGAUUUUCCCCUCACAUUCAACCGGCCCUUUUGGAUGAAAUUGUUGUGCCUUUGAGAUCAAAGUAAUGGCUUUGGAAAUUGGACAGGCGUUCCUUUGCCAGCAAUGUUGCUGCUGUAACGCAAAUCAUUAGAGAAAUUAAGGGCUGGAAGGGACCUCGAAAGAUCAUCGAGUCCAGCCCCCCGGCUCUGGCUGUCUGUGGAACUGGAUGGCCUUCCUUUUUGGGUCAGUGCUGUACUUGGGAGAUCAGGGCCAUGGGUCAGGAGUUCUGGAUUACAAGUUGCAUUGUCAUUUCAGCACCUAUGGGAAGCUUUCUGCUAUAAGCAACAUGCCUUUUUAUUCACCCUGAUUGCCCAUUUUGGUCUGUCCUCUUAAAGCAGUUAGCCUUUUUGUUCAUCGUCUCUUAAUUAGGUUCAUAUCUAGCUAGGUUGUGUGUUUUGAUUUUUAGGGAAUAAAUUCCUAAAAUCUCUCCCCCAAAAUUGCAUCAGCAGACUGUCUUUUUCUGAAGUAAGGGCUCUUCCCAGAGCUCUCCACCACCCUUUCCUAUGGGGGGAAAAGUUUUUGUGAAUUACUUUUUUGAGGACAGAUUCAAAUACCAGGACUCAGGAAACAAGCCCUGGGGCAUCAAACAUAUUUGAAUGAAGAGAGAAUUUUGUAGGGAAUAGGAAGUUAUUUAGGGUCAAAAGAAAGUUAGCUGAGAAUGUAUAAUAUGGAGUCUAUUGUGAAACUGCUUAUCACAUUAAUUCUCUUUUUUGGAAAUUUAUAUUAGGGGAUUGGAGAGCUGGAAAGUAGCAAGCAGAUGCUGAGCCCUGGUAUGUGAAGUACACUCGGGUACAAGAGGACUUGAAGGCCAACAGGCAGCUCUUAGGCAUUGCAUUUCAUGAAAGACAGUAUUGGCUUUUUAUUCCUUCCAGUGUGAAGGCUGUAGAGUAGAUGAAGAUUACAAUUCUGUAGUAGUUGUAAUUUUAUCAGCUGAUGGAUCUGGAGCAAACUGGACUCAAAGGAUGCAUCCCCACAAGUGGGAACAUGAAUUUCCCCAGGGCAGAGGAAAAUUAAGAUUCGCUGGGGUCCUGGUCCUGCCCUGCCCCAUCCAUGGGCUACAUCCCCAGCCGGUGCAGCAGGAGCAAUAGCCGGAGUGGGACACACUGUCCCCCCGGCCUGGAGCAGAAGACACGGCCGCCCCUGCCCACAGGUCCAUGCCAGAGCCUGGGGUUGGUUGUGCAAGAUCCCGCACAACAUUGUCCUGCAGCCACGCAGCACUAGGGGUGCGGAGCUGCUGCAUGCUGCAUGUGUGUGACACAGACUGAGCUCUGGGGGCCGCCCCUCACCCCACCAUGACUCAAUCCAGCUGUAGCAGUGCCAGGCCAAUGCGCUGGAUCAUGGCCAGGCCAGGACCUGGCUGCACAGGGGCUGCCCCACAGCUAGCAGGCCCAGCCACACACCACUACUAGCUCCAUUCCCUGCCACCAGUGGCUCCAGCCGCUCCCAGGGCUCCAGCACAUUCAUGCCCUGCCCAGUACCUGGCAGCCACAGCCCACCGCAUCUCACAUACCCAGCCCAGCUGCCAGUUAUGUCUGUGCUGAGCUGCUCCCCCUUCUCCCCUGUGCCCACCCUCCAGGCAUCUGGGGGCCCCUGUUUGGUGUGUUAAUCCACCUUGUCCCUGGGGAAUGCCUGUUGCACGCACUCUCGGGUGCGCAGCAUGUUACCCCGGGUAAGGUAGGGGAGGCUGGGGCCAGCAACUGUGCUGGCCCCAGCAGCCUUAGAUAAGGUCCUGGGGGCCUCUGGGAGCUGCAGCCAUGGCACUCCUGCAGCUGGGAGCCUGGCCAUCAGUUAGAAUAUGGCUUCAGCCGGCCAGGCUCUGGUUUUGGGCGGCGUGUGCUCCUGCCACAUGUGCCACCUCGCUUUUUUUAGGUGUGGGAUUUUUUGACCCCAGGAUCUCCCAGGUUCAAACGCACCCUCCCCCUGCACUGCAAAUGAGUAGUGCAGGAAACACCUGCAUGUGCAGCAUGUGUGGUGUGAGGCGCUGCAGACGGGUGUGCGGUGUUGCAUCCUGCACAUCCAUGUUUGUCUGGACGCACCCAAGGUUUCCAGUAGGUAGGAACCAUUUCAACUCCCAGCCACUGAAUAUUGGAAAGGAAAUCUGAAACAAAGCCCUCUGCUCAAUAUGUGAAUAUGCAUGUUUAGUGAAUUUAAAAAAAAAAUCUUUUGCUUUGUUUUCAUAGGGGUUUUUAAUAUUACUUAGCUGCUAUGUCACUGUAAAUAGGCUAAUUAGUUUUGCAUAAACUACCAUAUUUUCUUGCAUACCUCAGGCUCCAGAAUAAAAUAAACACCUUUUUUGAAAGGUAGACUGAGGGGGAAAAAAUGUUUUCUUGUAGCAAGGAACUGAGUUGCAGCAGCUCGGGAGUGGAGGCUGCUCAUUCAUUGUUCUGCUCCCUGUUAGAUUGUACUUUCACUUCUGCCUGGUAACCAGCAGAGCCUGCUCUUACUGUAUUUCUCACAUAUAAUGUGCACUGAAAUCUUUAGCAACUUGUUUUGGAGAUAAAGCAUGUGUUGUAUGCCAAAAAAAACCUACAGUAUGCAACCCUGUGACAUAUUUCCUGGCAGGUGUCUAUAGAGGCCCUGAUUUGGGGAAGCAAGUAAGUACAUACUGUCCUCAGCUGAGGCCAUAAACUCCGUUUUUCCAGAUAAUAGGGGAUUAUGUUUGUUUGUGAUAUCUAUCCACCAGUUCCUUUUUUCCGUCCCAGAGAACUGGGAAUGGAUUCUGUUUUUGUUGUCAUUCUUAUUUCUGGGCACUGGAGGCCACUGUAAUCCAAUUAUUAAUAACUUAUUCUGCACUACUUGUUAGGAUGGCAUGGCACUUUUUUCCAAACAGGUGAAGGAACAGUAGCCUCAGGCUACUUUCACUGAGAACAAAAAACAGGCAAAGAAUUUCUGCUACGAGGGCCUGAUCUCAUAACACGCCUGCCUGGCCCUGACAAUAGUCUAUCGCCUUUGUGUUAACUACCAUGCUGUUGUAAAAUGGCAGCGCUGGACUGAACUUGGUGGAAUCGUGCUGAUGUGUGCUAGGUGAGAAUCGGGCUGUGUUGCCUUUAUUAGUUGGAGCAAUAAGUCAUACACUGUUUCAGUGCCUUGAAAAAGUAUUAAUAUGACUUCAUAACACUGAGGCCCCACUUUUAUUUUUUACCCAUCCACAGGACUAAAUGAGAAAGGAGCAUAAUAUCUAUAUGCUCCAAUUCCUUCUGCAGUUUAGCAGCUUGUGGGGUUUGGGGUUUGUUUGUUUUUUUAAGGUCUCUUUCCAAGUAUUGGUUCAGCCUAACUGAGACUGAGACCCAAGAUCAUGUAGUCACGUGGUAAGAAACAGUUUAUAUUACCAGCAUGCCUUGCUUCCUACAUGUGGGGCUUUUCCCCUCUCCUUGCUGGUCCAGGUUCCCUUUUUAUUUAAUGCUUCAGUGAUGUCAGAAGCAAGUUUUUACCCUGUGUAGUAUCACAAAAAUGUUUGCUGUUCCAGCACGAGUAAAGACAACCCAGGUACUGAUCUGCAAAGUAUCAGCCUGCUUUGCCUUUGACUGGUGCCAAAGUAGAUGCCUUGCAGAUGACUUUCUCAUCUGCAAGGCAUCUACUGACUCAGGGCUGUCCAACUUCUGAGUGUCUGGGGGCCAUAUGGGCCAUGGGCUGCAGGCCCCCCUCUGCUGCAAGGGCUGUGUGGCCUCCCUGGGCCGUGUGCUGUACAGGGUCUUCUGGCACAUGGGCUAUGUAGACUACCCUGGCUCUGGAGGCUGCCCCACCCCAGGGUUGAGAGCAGGAAGGAAGCUGGAAGAGGAAGGGGUACCAUCCCCUGGGCCAGAUUCAUGAAGUUUAUACCAGUGUGAAAGGCUUUGUUUAAAAGCAAAAUCAGAGUCAAUGUUUCCAAGUGAACGUUUCCAAAAGUAAAGGACAUGUUCAAAGAGUGCAGAGAUGCUGGUAUGUGGUUACAACAGGGAUUGCAUGAAAGCGUCAGUGGGGUGUUAACAUAUUACUGCCCCGCAGCUCUCGACUUAGUGUUUGAAACUACUACUGUGCUGACUCCUGAUUUAUUUUGUGCAGGUGAUGUGCCCUAGCAUUACCUGAGUGUGGAUUGCUACUAUAUGGACAUCAAGAGCACUAGUCAAGAAAACUCUGAGACACAAAUUUUAGAAAUGGCACGCACAAUGUGGUGGGAGGGAGGCUGUCAACCUGAAGGCUAAUUUUUAGGAUGUCCUCAUGAUGGAAAUGUCUUGUGAAAAUCAAAAAGACUAAUCUUUACAGCAGCUGCUGACCACCAAAGAGAGAGCGAGUCAACCGCCAAAGUAUUGUCUUCAGAUGUGUCUAUCCUGAUGUAACCUGAGAUGAUAGUAACAUAACUUUUUAUGAGAAAGCAUUAAUGGUGCAACCCAAGAAAUGACCAUUGUUUGGAGAAGAGAGAGAUUAGCAUAAGAAUUGCAAAAGGAGUAAGGAAAUGGCUAAAAAAGAAACAAGAUUCAUGUAAAGAGAGAUUGCCAGACUGGCAAAAAGGUAAGGAGCUCCUCAAAAUUGGUGUUGAUCCUGGCCUUAAUGAAAAUGGUAUAUACCGUAUUUACUUGCAUACAACACACAACUGUUUCCCCAAAAUUCAGCUUCUGUAAAUUGUGGUGUGCAUUGUAAGCAAGGAAAUAUAGUAACCGCAGUUUCUACCUCUGUGGAAUGAGGAAAGAGAAAUGAACAGUAUAGAACUGAAGGUGUGGACUCCUUAGCUGUUGGCUAUGGAAACUUUCUGUCUUCUCCCCAGCAGAGGCUUCUGCUGCAUAAGCAAGGAAAAAUCUUUUCUUUUUUUCAUCCUACCUUUCAAAUGCAAGCUAUAUAUCUGAUCCAGGAACAUGUAUAUGAGAAAAUAUGGUAGCAACAUUGGCACAAGAAAUGUGUGCUGAUGGGCAGGGUGGAAAAAUGAUGAAGAAACAGACAAUUAACGUGUUUGAAACUGGUGGUGUAGACUCAAGUUAUUUGUCUUUAUCUUUGCUUGCUUUCCUCUCCUUUCUUCAAAAAUGGUAAUUGCUCCUCUUUUAAACUGUUGUAUACAGGGGACAGCUUAGUACUUGAUGCCAGGACAGGAAAAUGGAUUAAAACAUUGGCAGCAUAUCGAUAUCGAUCAUAAAUCUUGCAUGGCAUACUUGCUCUACUGUACUAAAAUGCAUUUGUUUUUAA